AUUGAACGCUGGCGGCAUGCCUUACACAUGCAAGUCGAACGGUAACAGGUCUUCGGAUGCUGACGAGUGGCGAACGGGUGAGUAAUACAUCGGAACGUGCCUAGUAGUGGGGGAUAACUACUCGAAAGAGUGGCUAAUACCGCAUGAGGUCUACGGAUGAAAGCAGGGGAUCGCAAGACCUUGUGCUACUAGAGCGGCCGAUGGCAGAUUAGGUAGUUGGUGGGAUAAAAGCUUACCAAGCCGACGAUCUGUAGCUGGGCUGAGAGGACGAUCGGCAACGCAGGAGCUGAGACACGGCCCAGGCUCCUACGGGAGGCAGCAGUGGGGAAUAUUGGACAAUGGGCGCAAGCCUGAUCCAGCAAUGCCGCGUGCAGGAUGAAGGCCUUCUGGUUGUAAACUGCUUUUGUACGGAACGAAAAGCCCUGGGUUAAUACCCUGGGGUCAUGACGGUACCGUAAGAAUAAGCACCGGCUAACUACGUGCCAGCAGCCGCGGUAACAC
rnacentral:rRNA from 1 species